ensembl:lncRNA
GGAUUUAGGACCAGCGAGCUGAUGGGUCCUGGGAAGAGGAGGACGGAAAACGCCCCGUGGCACCACUGACCAGCCCCCACGGCGGGGAGAGUUCCGUAGGCCGCGUCCGCGGGAUUCAGGCCGUUUGGCAUUCACAGAGCAGCUGGGCCCGAUAAUGAGGGAUCUCUGCAGAGCCUUUGCAGGGUGCAAAGCCCUUGCAUUCUGUUUAUCUUUCCAUAGCCCCGAGAAGUGGGCCGGGCAGGGACAGUUACCUUUAUUUUACAGAUGAGAAAACGGAGGCCCAGUGAGGGGGAAUAGCAUGCGUUUGGUCUCUCUGGGAGUAAAUGUCCAGACCGGUUCUCUAGCCGCUGAAAGCAAGGCCUGGUGAUGAGGUGGGGGCCUGCAAGGGGGCAGGCGUGGGGCCCGGUGUGUGCGCCUCUGCACGGGCUCUCUGUAGGGGCAUCAGAAGCUACGUUAAGCUGAGGCUUUAGGCUGGGUGGUCACUCCCCAGGUCCAGGCAGGUAACUGUGAGGAGAGCAGGGAAGGGGGCCAGGGGCAAAGCGGAGAGCUGCCCCCCCUCCCAGAGCACCGCGGGCCGCCUCUGGGUUUAAAGAACACAGCUCCUUCCCACCUGGGGCAGAGGCCCCAAGGUCCCCGGUGAUAGACUCAGGGAGGGCAGAGUGGGGCCCGGUCCCAGCAGGGUAGGAUCGGCUGUGGGUGAUGCAGGUCCAGCUGGGAUGGGAUCUCUCCUCUGCCAGAGAGUCACCCGGGAGCUGGACCCGCGCUACAUAACAGCACGUGGGCAGCCUGUUCCGCGGCGGCUUCCGCCAGACGCUCUCCUACCAGCUGAUGCGCUCCGCAGGCCUCUACGCCGCCACCUGCCUCGACAUCCUGCGCUACCCGCUCAGCUCGCUGCAUCGGGUGGCCGGAGCUGGGCUCCUGUUUCGUCUGUUGGUAGCAUCAUCUGGCAUCAUCUAGAGGCUUAGAAGGAAUAUACCUACGUAACUGAAAUGACACAACAAACUCUCAAAGGAACAGGUCUGUGAAACAGUUCGCUAGUUUCUCUUUCUGGGGAUAAUCAAGGGAAACAUUUGGAAUAUCUGAGGAUAAAUAAGGGCCAACAGGCCACGUACUGAGAGAGUUUCAGAAGCUAGGUCUGGCCCUGCCAAGGCCUUUCGUUCUUCUUCCUGGCUUGACUUGUGGGCCUGUUCGGUAAAGCGGCUUCUCCAAGCAGAGACCAGGUAUCCCUGGCCUUGCGUCUUCAAACACUGCAUUCUUGUUCAAGGGCUACGGGGUAGAAUUUUAUCAGGAAAAUUGCUCAGACUCUAGGGCCCAUACUUUUCUGGAAAGAUGCUGAAAUAUGGUGCAGUAGCUAAUACUACAGAACUCAACCAUUAGAAUUCCCUGCUAGGGAGUGAGAAUGCAGAGAGGCUGGGGAUGAACAGCCACCAGAAGAAUGCUUGGGGUCUGAGGAAGAGUGAGGGAGGAGGAGGGGGAAGCGGUGGCCAAAGGGCCUUUCGCAUGCUUUUCCUUCUGCCGGAAGCAUCCCCUACCUCUUCUCCUGUUAAACCUGCUCUUGCCUCAGACUCGAGGGGCCUCUCCACCUCCCUGUGACUGGAUCAGGUCCUUCUGUUGGUCCCAUCCUAGAGACCUUGGUUUCUGGGGAUUAUUCCAUUUUCACACAUUUGUGUCCCGCUGGACUCUUGGCUUCAUGGGGCCAGGUCACGUGGCUCAUUGUUGCAUCUCUGGCAUCUUCGGUGUCUUGUGUGUUCCACCGAGUAAACUACAUCACCUGGUUUAUUAUUACAUUGCAGGGGAAAGGGUGGGGCAAAAGAUAGAUUGUAAGACAAGAGGAAGUGGGGAAAGACUAGAAAGCUUUGGAUGAGAACUCUGCUAAGCUCGUAGGAAGUCAGCUGGGGCAUGGUAGGGUGGAAGAUACUUCUAUUUGGGGCUGUUCAUUUAAUGCAGGUGUUUUUUUUUUUUUUAAACCUAUUGUUACCUCUGUACUCAUUUACCUACACUUUAGUUGGAAAUGUGCCCCAUUAUUCCAAAGACUAUAGUAGACACUGAUAGUCCAUUUCGGGAAGAAUUUUUAGUUGGGCAUGUGGGCACCCAAAAUACGUUUCCCAGCCUUCUUUGAAGAUAAGUGUAUGUGCUCAAUGGCCCCACAAUCCUAAAUAGAAAUAAUGUGUCCAUCUUCCAAGUUGUAACCUUAAAAAGGAGAGGGGCAUGUGUUCUAUCUCCUCUCUUCCCGGGUCCCUCUGGCUGGAAUGUGACAUUGGUUGGGGAGCCAUCUCUGGUUAUAUGGAUGAGGCUGUAUCCCGGGGAUGGCAGAGCCGUAAGACAGAUGUGGCCUGGCCUUGGCACCAAACACUGGACAGUUUCACUUGAACUACUGAUGUAAGAGAGACACGUUUCCCUUUGGGACUAGUAACAGCAGCUCAAUCGAUACCCUAAUUCUGACAUCCAGCCCUGAGCAGUCAGAAAGGAAGGGAAUGGAAGCAUCGCCCCUGAGUUAGCGGCCUGGUGGUAAAAAAUGUAAUCAAGUACCUCAUUUGUAGAAUAAACAACCGUACUCUGGCUCUCAUAGCAAUUCCUGUUUGGUAAAUGGGAACAGUUCAAGAAGUUCUUCUUCCAUAUCGCCUUCUUACUCCUCAUGUCCUUACUUGGCGUAGAGGCGGGGAUUGAAAGGUCUGGACUUGGCGCCAGACAGCCCUGAGUCUGAAAUUUCAGCCCUAUCAUUGACCGUCUAAGUAGCGUCUCCAUACCUAUGUCAUAAGGCUAUUGCGAAGAUGUAGUGAGAUAAGAUGCAUGGAACACAGCCAGAGGAAGCGCUGAAUGACAGUGUCCUACACAAGUGUUUGUGUGUGUGGGACUUCUCCCCUAGCAACCGACAGAAACCUAACUGAAACUGGCCUUCAGAGCUCGUGAUCUCUCAGCAGCUCCCUGGGCAUUAUUUGGCUUCACAGAUAAAGGGAGGCUGUCCAAAGGGAAGGAAAGGGCUGGCUGUGUGGAGUCCUGCAGUUUGGUUGUGGUGACCAUCUAUUCUUAUUGAAAAUUAGUAUAUCAACUUUAUGGUUUUAUAGCUCAGUUUUAUGAACCUUGUCUUUAUAAACCUGACCUAGAGAGAUGAUGCUUCCCUCAUUGUGAUAAAAUCUAGCUCCUGGGUGAGGGUGAUGGGCAGACCCUUGAUCAAGGUGAGUUCUCCAUGGUAAUGAAUGUUCCCUAUGAGGCCUCUUGAGAUUGCCUAGAAGAGUUUCCCUGGACAAAACCCUGAUUCUCUAGGCCAAGCCAUCAUCACUGUUUUUUUUUUUUAAUAAUAAAUAAAAUAAAUGGAUAAGCAGGAAUGAACAAAGUUUAAUUUUUUUGUUUUAGAUAAUACUUAAAUAUUAAGAAAGCUAAAAUUUUAAAAUUCACAAUAUGUUGGCUAGGUUUUUCUAUACAUUAUAUUUACAUAAUGAUUCUAAUUUUAACUUUCCAAGAACAGUUGCCCAGGAAGAAGGAAAGGCAACCUAUAAUAGUCUCUGGGGCUUGUACUGUCUUCUCAGGUCAGGUGUCCUGUAGCAAAGAACUGAAGUGAAGAAGCAAGUGACCCUGCCCUCCCCUCUCCCCUGCUCCCUUUUGUUUUUCUUUGAAGCACUUCUGAAUAACAAAUGCAAAAUUAGAUUUGGAUAUAAAAGCUAGACGACUACCGCAGUUCAGAACUGUGUUCCACUGGAGAAGCCCCAGCACAGCCAGGGUGGGAAUUACCCCUCAUCUGUAGGGUGCUGUGACAGAAGUCAGAGUCGCAUACAAAAGUCACCUGGGAUCUCUGAGCAAAAGCACAGCUAGCGUCAGCUCCGUAAAAUGAGGGGAUUUGAUCAGACAGUCUGUCGCAUGGCAUCUGGUCCAGAAGGCUAGCUUCAAAGCUCCCCUCGGGGCAGAUAGGCCUCGCCCUCUCCGCUAAGGCAGAUGCAGGAAGGAAAGUCCAUCAUCCUGCGGCACCAGCCUCUUGAUGUGAAAAAAAGAACUACACUGAGAGUAAAUUAGGUCAAUAAGGUGAACAUUUUUUACCAUACUUGUGGGGUAAAUGAAUAUUCAAUAGCUUAAAAUUUAUGUACUAUAAACUGUGGCAAACUAUAGUCUUAAAUAAACCAAAGACAGUCCCGUGGGGAUAUUAAAUUCGAGAGUAAGCCCAGUGACUAAAUCCUAAGGGCCCACAGUCUGCCUGUCCGUUAUAUAGUUUUGCCCAGGUCACCUGGCCAAGGGUAUUUCACGGAGUCUCUGAAACACCUUUAAAAAAA